GUGAGCAAGUGAGCGCAGGGUCCGGCCACUGAGCACAGUGAGGCAUGCCAGGUGCUGCGGUGGGGCAGGCAGCUCCAGGCGCUGGCACAGGCACUGGCUCUGUGCAAAGCUGUGGCUGAACCAGAGGUACCGCAAGCGGCUUUUGCUGCCAGCACCGGCGUCUGGACAAGGGGAACAUGGUGGCGCCUGAAAGCUCAGAGAUGCCAGGAAUCACAGAGCCCCCAAAGAGGGUGUUAUAGCAGGUCACAGUCCUGGCUCCGGGAGCCCUGAGGUCUGGGCUCCCAGAAGGGCUGCAGCUCUUCUCUCCUUCUCGUUGCCCACAGCAUGGGAAUCUCUGCAUAUAGCUACAAAGUCACCCAGGGAAGGACAAGCUCAUGGAGGGCUCUUUCCUGCCCAUUCGCCUCAUUUAAGUGCAGCCAUCCUUCAGGCCCUUGGUUAAGCUUCCAAGGACCCUAUGGGUCAAGAAAAGUCUUCAGACCGUGGACAAUGUGCUCUUUGCCCCUAUUAUGGAGAAAGGUGUUCCCUAGGAUGAUGACACAAGGAUUUAAUGAGUAGAAGACAACAACUUAAAACCUCUCAUUUGAGCAUGAAUUGUCUAGGUUAAAGGUAGGCAUUGAGAUCCCAUUAGCUACUGGCACACUUGGGAAAAGAAAUGUACACAUGCACAGACACACUUUAAAGCAAGACUUCAUAAAAAUACAGCGAUGCCUGUUUCUACUCAGACCCAAAAAUGGAAUUAAAGCCAAAACUUACAACCCCUCUACUAAUUAGAGAAGUAAAAAUGUCUUCACCCCAAGUGUCCCAGCACAACGUGAAACCGAAACAAGCUGCCUUUCUUUGGAUUCCACUUAUUUAUUUAUGUUUAAAAGAAUAUUUGAAGAAAAGGACGCCUAGUAAAAGAACAGUUGGAGAAAACAUGGGACACCAUACAUUGGAAGAGAAAUGUAGAUGAAGUACACAGCUACAACAGGGAUAUUUUUUUUCUUGUUGAAACACAUGAUAAUGGGCUAAUAAAAAUCUGGUUACCUUUACAUUUCUUCUCCUCCGUUUGGAAGGUCUGGGCACUUGAGACACUCUGGUCGUUCACAUCAUCAUGGUCCAGAUGGAAUAUUG
rnacentral:lncRNA from 1 species